rnacentral:rRNA from 1 species
CCUACGGGGGGCUGCAGUGAGGAAUAUUGGUCAAUGGGCUUACGCCUGAACCAGCCAAGUCGCGUGAGGGAAGACUGCCCUAUGGGUUGUAAACCUCUUUUGUCAGGGAGCAACGCCGGCUACGUGUAGCCGGACUGAGAGUACCUGAAGAAAAAGCAUCGGCUAACUCCGUGCCAGCAGCCGCGGUAAUAAGGAGGAUGCGAGCGUUAGCCGGAUUUAUUGGGUUUAAAGGCUGCGUAGGCGGAAUGCCAAGUCAGCGGUAAAAUGGCGGGGCUCAACCUCGCUCCGCCGUUGAAACUGGCGUGCGUGAGUGGGCGAGAAGGAUGCGGAAUGCGUGGUGUAGCGGUGAAAGGCAUAGAUAUCACGCAGAACUCCGAUUGCGAAGGCAGCAUACCGGCGCCCGACUGACGCUGAGGCACGAAAGCGUGGGGAUCGAACAGGAUUAGAUACCCGAGUAGUC